AGGUGUUGCGCAUCAAUUCAUCAGCUGGGAGGCAUAAAGAGGAUGGAUUGCCAACACUUCGUUGCCUGAGUGUUUUGCCCUCCGUGGUAAUCUUCUGGCCAGCUCUGAAAACCUUGCAAAUUGCUGUGAAAGAUUUUUUGAAGUAUUUUCUGAAAGAACUCUGACUUCCUCCUGUUACCUGUUCCAGGUGUGAUAUCUGGCUGACCUGUUCCAGUCCUCCGUUUGUGGUGCAGACUCCUUCCUGGAUUUGAACUGAACCUGGCAGACUGUGCUCCUCUCCUGACACUAUUCCUCUCCCUGGCGGGUUCCACGAUUUCUCCAGUAAGAAAACUUUACUGUCAGGCCACAUUCUGAGGUUCAGUCUCUAAUCUUUACCUAGUGUGUUUUUUCAGUGACGGAGAUUAGGUUCGCCGCUUCUGUUUGUGCCUGACCGAGUUUUCAAUAAAACUUCAUUAACUGAUCUUGUUCUCUGAGUGUCUCUGCAUGUGGGUUAAGUUGGCUGUUAAAAUCAUGACAGAACACUCAGGCCAGCCUAACCCAGCGGAGAUCCUUCAGAGAAUCUUAGCUGAACAUAGUCAGCAGAUCCAUGCGCACGGUUCCGCCCUCCAAACCCUCCUAGAUCUGCAGCGGCAGCGGCAGACUAACCAGCAGCUAGAGCACUUGGCGUCUCUGUUCCGAGGUGCCUGUAGUCCCGAGUCCGCCGCACCCAUUGGGGGCGCAGCUGAGCCCCUGGCACUCCAACAACAGCCACAUUCCCGUGACGUUACCGCCCCUCAUCCCGAGAAGUUCUCUGGAGAAGUGGGCGGAUGUUGUGGGUUUCUACUCCAGUGCAAACUGGUGUUCAACCGGUCACCCCAAGCGUUUUCUCAUGAUGAGGGUAAGAUCUCAUACAUCUUGGGUUUGUUAACCGGGAGGGCGCUCCGGUGGGCGGAGGCACGGUUCUCCCACUGCAGUAAUUUUGGUAUCUCUUAUGAAGAGUUCAUUAUUGAAUUCAAACAAACUUUUGAUGUAGCCUCUGAUCAGUCCUGUACUGCCCACAGACUGUGGGCGCUAAAACAACGGAGUCGCCCAUAGCCGAUUUUUCUAUUGACUUCCGUACGUUGGCCGCGUCCUCAGGCUGGAACGGAAGCGCGUUAAAGGUGGCAUUUUUCCAGUCUCUGGACGAGGCCGUUAAGGAUGAGUUAGUUCUGGUAGAUGAGUCCGAUGGGUUAGAUAAAUACACUUAUUUGGCUGUCCGCAUUGAUUCUCGCCUACAGGAGAGGAGGAGGGAUCGCUCCGAGAGGGCGGUGGGGCAGCCUCAGCCACUUUCCUCGUCCCCGUUGCCAGUUCCACAAGAUCCUCUGAUCAGCCAACCCGAGACCGAGCCCAUGCAGGCUAUCGCCUGGAGAGCAACGGCGACGCCGGGCGGCUAACCAGUGUUUUUAUUACAGUGCCUCCGGCCAUUUUAUUUUCGCUGGUCCUGUCCGGUUAAAAGGGACAGGGGCAACCGACGGACCAACCCUCCAGUUAUAAGACCCCUCGAUUCACGUUACCGGCCACUUUGUUUUUGAACCGUCACGCUGAGGUUUUGUCCGCCCUAGUCGAUUCUGGGUGUGAUUUGAAUUUGAUUGACCAUGAUCUUGUUUCUAAGAAACAAAUGGCCACAGAAAUGUUGGCCCAGCCCCGCCGGGUUUUAGCUUUGGAUGGGUUAUCUUUACAUGAGAUCACCCAUCGAACGAGGCCGCUAGAACUUAUUUUGUCUGGUAAUCACCGAGAACAGGUAUCUUUUUAUGUUUUUCCCAUUGCUCAGAGUGCGUUAGUACUCGGUUUCCCCUGGCUUCAGCGUCAUAAUCCUCAUAUUAAUUGGGUGGAUUUACGUAUAGAGGCUUGGUCUGAGGGAUGUCUCAGCUCUUGUUUACAGUCUGCCCUAGUACUCCUGUGGAGGAGGAUAAGGAGGAGGAGCUCCCAGAUUUGACCAGGGUUCCCUCCGAGUACCACAACCUCAAACAGGUAUUUAGUAAGUCUCGGGCUCUGUCUCUGCCGCCUCAUCGACCUUACGACUGCCCCAUUAACCCCCUCCAGCCGGCCCCAUAGCAUCUCUGGGCCGGAAAGACGGGUAAUGGAGAAGUAUAUUGCUGAGUCUUUAGUUGCUGGGAUUAUCCGCCCUUCCUCAUGUCCGCUAGGGGCAGGCUUCUUUUUUGUGGGCAAGAAGGAUGGUAGUUUACGUCCUUGCAUAGAUUACAGAGGCUUGAACGCUAUUACUGUAAAGCAUAAAUACCCCCUUCCGUUGUUAGCUUCUGCGUUUGAACCCAUACACGGCGCCAUAAUUUUCUCAAAACUGGACCUCGGAAAUGCCUACCACUUAGUCCGAAUCCGCCAGGGAGACGAGUGGAAGACGGCUUUCAAAACUCCCCUGGGACAUUUUGAAUAUUUAGUCAUGCAUUUUGGCUUAAGCAAUGCCCCAGCAGUGUUCCAGGCACUCGUCAACAAUGUUUUGAGAGAUCUUUUUGAAUAUUUUUGUGUUUGUAUACCUGGACGACAUUUAGAUCUUUUUUUCUAGAAGCCUCGAGGAACACCGCCGCCAUGUUAGGCUGGUCCUACAGCGCCUCCUCGAGAACAGACUGUUUGUUAAAGUAGAGAAGUGCGACUUUCAUCAGUCGACCGUCAGUUUCCUGGGGUUCGUGUUGGAGGACGGACAAGUUCGCGCUGACCCAGGGAAGGUUCGAGCAGUGGUGGACUGGCCAGUACCUGACUCCCGGAGGACGUUGCAGCAGUUCCUGGGGUUCGCCAACUUCUACCGAAGGUUCAUUAGGAAUUACAGCCAAGUGGCAGCCCCCUUGACUGUGCUGACUUCCACCAAGACUACCUUCAGCUGGGGGUCAGAGACCGAGACCGCCUUCACCCAGUUAAAGAGGCUGUUCUCCCAAGCACCUGUCCUGAUCCAUCCUGACUCAACUAAGUAGUUCACGCUGGAGGUAGAUGCCUCGGACACCGGGGUGGGAGCAGUCCUCUCUCAGCUUUCGGACCAGGAUGCGAGGCUUCACCCCUGAGCCUUUUUCUCUCGUCGGCUGACCCCUGCCGAACAGAACUACCAGGUUGGAGACAUGGAGCUGCUGGCCAUCAAACUGGCCCUGGAGAAGUGGAGGCAUUGGUUGGAGGGCGCCGAACACCCCGUGCUGGUCAGGACAGACCAUAAGAACUUACAUCCAGUCAGCUAAGCGUCUUAAUGCACGCCAAUCAUGUUGGUCACUUUUUUUUUCCCAUUUUAAUCUGUCUAUUUCUUUUAGACCAGGAUCCAAGAACCUCAAGCCUGACGCUCUGUUCCGCCAGUUCGGGCCUGAGGACUCAGAAAAACAGGCCGAGUCUAUUCGGCCGCCAAGCUGUACUGUGGGCUCCUUAACCUGGGAGAUAGAGGACCUGGUGCGGCGAGCCCUCCCUGAUGAUCCUGGGCCAGGCACUGGACCCCCUGGACGGACCUACGUUCCAGCUUCUGUACGGUCCAGACUGAUCUGCUGGUUCCAUACAGCCAAGUUCUCCACCCACCCAGGAGUCAGUAGGACCAUCGCUGCAAUUUCCAGACGUUAUUGGUGGCCGUCCCUACACAGAGACAUUAGGGAGGACUUGAACGCCUGCGCCACCUGCGCUAGAAGCAAACCCUCCAAUCGACCCUCCGCAGGCCUGCUCCAGCCUCUCAGCGUCCCCAAGCGACCCUGGUCCCAUGUGGCUUUGGAUUUUGUCACCGGCCUGCCAAGCUCUCAUGGAAUGACUGUAAUUAUGACCAUAGUCGAUCGGUUCUCCAAGGCCUGCCACCUGGUUCCUCUCAGGAAGCUACCAUCAGCCCUCCAAACAGCAAGGUUGAUGGUUAAACAUGUCUUCCGCCUGCACGGCAUCCCCUGUUGCCCGGGUCUGGAGACAUUUCUGUGACGCCUUGGGGGCGAAGGUGGCGCUGACUUCAGGUCAUCACCCCCAGUCUAAUGGCCAGGUGGAGCGUCUCAACCAGGAGUUGGAGGCGGCCCUGCGGUGCGUAACGUCCACCUGUCCCAAGGAAUGGAGUGACCACUAGGGGUGGAUCGAAUACGCCCACAACUCCCACGUCUCCUCAGCCACAGGCUACACUCCUUUUGAGGUCUCCUUGGGAUACCGGCCGCCGUUGUUCCCGUCAGAGGAAAAAGACAUCGCUGUUCCUACAGUACGACACCACAUCCGGAGAUGUAAGCAGGUGUGGGACGCCGCCAUCCGGGCACUUCACCGGACAGCAGCCCAAAACAAGCGCUAUGCAGACCGUCGACGUCUGCCCGCUCCCAGUUACCACCCUGGUCAGAAGGUUUGGCUCGCCGCAUGGGACAUCCCACUUAAGUCACUGUCCAGAAAGCUCUCUCCCAGGUUCAUUGGACCAUACGUGAUUGACUCACUUGUUGGUCCUGCCUCUGUUUGCCUUCGACUGCCUCCCAGUCUCUGCGUACAUCCUGUCUUUCACGUUUCUCAGUUGAAGCCUGUCCAGACCAGCACGCUCUGCCCUCUGGCCUUGCCCCCUCCGCCCGCCCGGGACUUUCAGGGCAACACUGUCUACUCUGUUCGCCGCAUUGUGGCCUCUCGACGGCGGGGACAUGGAUGUCAGUACCUCGUUGAUUGGGAGGGGUACGGUCCGGAGGACAGUUCCUGGGUCCUUCAUUGUUGAUCCCUCCCUGGUCCGGGAAUUCCGGGCUUCCCAGACUGCUUCUUCUGGGCCGCCAAGUGGUGGCUGUUGAGGGGGAGGUGGUGUCAGGAUCUGGAGUCAUCUGCUGUCUGCUACUAACACCAUUCCAACACUAGGUGCUGCCAGCAGGAGAGUGCCUGAGGCGACAGGUGUUGCGCAUCGAUUCAUCAUCUGUAAGGCAUAAAGAGGAUGGAUUGCCAACACUUCGCUGCCUGAGUGUUUUGCCCUCCGUGGUGUGAUAUCUGGCUGACCUGUUCCAGUCCUCCGUUUGUGGUGCAGACUCCUUCCUGGAUUUGAACUGAACCUGGCAGACUGUGCUCCUCUCCUGACACUAUUCCUCUCCCUGGCGGGUUCCACGAUUUCUCCAUGACGGAGAUUAGGUUCGCCGCUUCUGUUUGUGCCUGACCGAGUUUUCAAUAAAACUUCUUUAACUGA